rnacentral:rRNA from 1 species
CCUACGGGAGGCAGCAGUGGGGAAUAUUGGACAAUGGGCGAAAGCCUGAUCCAGCCAUGCCGCGUGUGUGAAGAAGGCCUUCGGGUUGUAAAGCACUUUUGGCGGGAACGAAAAGGACUGUGCCAAUACCACGGUUCGAUGACGGUACCCGCAGAAUAAGCACCGGCUAACUACGUGCCAGCAGCCGCGGUAAUACGUAGGGUGCGAGCGUUAAUCGGAAUUACUGGGCGUAAAGCGCACGCAGGCGGUUUGUUAAGCUAGAUGUGAAAGCCCCGGGCUCAACCUGGGAUGGUCAUUUAGAACUGGCAGACUAGAGUCUUGGAGAGGGGAGUGGAAUUCCAGGUGUAGCGGUGAAAUGCGUAGAGAUCUGAAGGAAUACCGAUGGCGAAGGCAGCCACCUGGGUCAAUACUGACGCUCAUGUACGAAAGCGUGGGGAGCAAACGGGAUUAGAUACCCCGGUAGUCCACGCCGUAAACGAUGUCUACUAGGAGCUGGGGUCUUCGGACAACUUUUCCAAAGCUAACGCAUUAAGUAGACCGCCUGGGGAGUACGGCCGCA